rnacentral:misc_RNA from 1 species
GUGAAUCAUCGAAUCUUUGAACGCAAAUUGCACUCCCCGGUAUUCCGGGGAGUAUGCCUGUUUGAGGGUCGUUAGAAUAAAAAAUCGAGGCGUCGCCCUUUUUUUUAAGGGUCAUCGCGUCGGAAUUGAGCCGUCUUUCAAAUGUUAAUUCUUGUCAUAGUGGAUUAAAAUUCACUCAUCCGGUACGAUUAAAGCGUAUUUGAUUU